rnacentral:lncRNA from 1 species
UCCAUUUUCAUAUUUCUUUUUCUUAUUUAAAAUAUUUUCUUCGUCCAUAAAAUAACCCAAAAAUAUUUUUCACUUUUAUUAAUGUUUUAUUUAAUUUUAUAUAAUUUUUAUUUUCGUAUUUCUUUAAUAUUAAUAUUUUAUUUUAAUUAUUUAUUCUAACUGGUCCGUUUUAACACACUUUUUUUUAUUGCUUUUAUUU